rnacentral:rRNA from 1 species
UACGUAGGGGGCAAGCGUUGUCCGGAUUUAUUGGGCGUAAAGCGCUUGUAGGCGGCACGUCAAGUCGCGUGUGAAAUCCCCAGGCUUAACCUGGGAAGUGCGCGCGAAACUGACGAGCUUGAGUGCCGGAGAGGGUCGCGGAAUUCCCGGUGUAGAGGUGAAAUUCGUAGAUAUCGGGAGGAACACCAGUGGCGAAGGCGGCGACCUGGACGGACACUGACGCUGAGA